rnacentral:rRNA from 1 species
GUCUACGGCCAUGCCACCCUGAACAAGCCCGAUGUCUGAUCUCGGAAGCUAAGCAAGGUCGGGCCUGGUUAGUACUUAGGUGGGAGACCACCUAGGAAGACCAGGUGCUGUAGGCA